AGGUGGGUGUUUAUUGUUGGGCCAGUUCGGAUCAAUUAGGGUCGGAGUUUGCGGGUUGCUGUUGUUGUGCGUUGAUUGUUGCUGAUUGUUGUUGCUGGUUCGGGUCAAAACUGGGUUGCGACUGUUGUUCGUUUGGAAUUGAUUGGUUUACCAAUUUUUGAUGGGUUGCAGCUGUUGCUGCGUCGGGUUAAGGUCGGUCAGCGCCAUUGUUGGUCGCUGAUAUUGCACGUUUUUUUUCUUUUUUUUUCUUUGGUUGAAGUGUUGUGCUGUGUUGUACGUUGUUGUAUGCUUUGCUGUUCUUUUAUGUUGUACGCUGUUAUUUGGAAAGGAUAGGGGAGUAUAGGUUAGUUGGGUCGGGUCACUGGUGUUGGGUUGCUGUUAUUAUUUGUUGGGCUGCCAUUGUGGCCCAAUGGUAAAAAUAAGGAAGAGUUAUUUCAAUUCUUGGGUUAUUCAAAAUAUAGCCAAAUUGGAUGGAGAUUUAGUUAAU